GCAUCUUUAAGGUGUACACUUGCCUUCUAAGAAAAAAAUUAUUUGGCAAACUUUUCCUUAUAUGUGCUCUUCAACUUGUUCCACAAUCCUUUAGUAGUGGUCUCCAAAGAAACAUUAAAUAAGACAAAAUUAUUAAGUGUCGGAUAAAGUUCAGUCAUCACCAUUUUAUCCCAUUUGGUCAAUUCUUCAUCUAAAAUUGUAGCAAGUUUCUUCUCUUUGCCUUAAGAGGCCAUAAUGCACCCAUCUUAUAC
rnacentral:lncRNA from 1 species